GGUCGCGUAGCUCAGGGGAUAGAGCACAUGCCUUCUAAGCCUGUGGUCGCAGGUUCGAAUCCUGCCGCGAUCGCCA
rnacentral:tRNA from 2 species